UGGGGAAUAUUGGACAAUGGGCGAAAGCCUGAUCCAGCCAUGCCGCGUGUGUGAAGAAGGCCUUUUGGUUGUAAAGCACUUUAAGUGGGGAGGAAAAGCUUAUGGUUAAUACCCAUAAGCCCUGACGUUACCCACAGAAUAAGCACCGGCUAACUCUGUGCCAGCAGCCGCGGUAAUACAGAGGGUGCAAGCGUUAAUCGGAAUUACUGGGCGUAAAGCGCGCGUAGGUGGUUAUUUAAGUCAGAUGUGAAAGCCCCGGGCUUAACCUGGGAACUGCAUCUGAUACUGGAUAACUAGAGUAGGUGAGAGGGGAGUAGAAUUCCAGGUGUAGCGGUGAAAUGCGUAGAGAUCUGGAGGAAUACCGAUGGCGAAGGCAGCUCCCUGGCAUCAUACUGACACUGAGGUGCGAAAGCGUGGGUAGCAAACAGGAUUAGAUACCCUGGUAGUCUACGCCGUAAACGAUGUCUACCAGUCGUUGGGUCUUUUAAAGACUUAGUGACGCAGUUAACGCAAUAAGUAGACCGCCUGGGGAGUACGGCCGCAAGGUUA
rnacentral:rRNA from 1 species